UACGGGGGGGGCAAGCGUUGUUCGGAAUUACUGGGCGUAAAGGGCUCGUAGGCGGCCAACUAAGUCAGACGUGAAAUCCCUCGGCUUAACCGGGGAACUGCGUCUGAUACUGGAUGGCUUGAGUUUGGGAGAGGGGUGCGGAAUUCCAGGUGUAGCGGUGAAAUGCGUAGAUAUCUGGAGGAACACCGGUGGCGAAGGCGGCAUCCUGGACCGGUAUUGACACUGAGGCGCGAAAGCCAGGGGAGCAAACGGG
rnacentral:rRNA from 1 species